rnacentral:rRNA from 1 species
CAGUAGCCACGGGAAUACGAAGGGGGCUAGCGUUGCUCGGAAUUACUGGGCGUAAAGGGCGCGUAGGCGGACAGUUCAGUCGGGGGUGAAAGCCCGGGGCUCAACCUCGGAAUUGCCUUCGAUACUGGCUGUCUUGAGUAUGAGAGAGGUGUGUGGAACUCCGAGUGUAGAGGUGAAAUUCGUAGAUAUUCGGAAGAACACCAGUGGCGAAGGCGACACACUGGCUCAUUACUGACGCUGAGGCGCGAAAGCGUGGGGAGCAAACAGGAUUAGAUACCCCGGUAGUCCCUGUCUCUUAUAC